rnacentral:piRNA from 1 species
UGAAGCAUGCAUAUCGGUCUG